ensembl:lncRNA
GGGAGAUGCAGAACAAGAGUCUGGUGGUGUUUGCAGAAAACAAUUUGAUUUAAACUUUUCAUGAAUUAAUUUUUGAAAUAUGUCCAUAUAGCAACAUAAACAGCAUUGGUCAGAAAUUUGGUAAGCAAUUAUUAAACAAUGAUACAGUAAAGUAAGAUGACAAUCACCACAGUGGUACUUGGGAAGAUGUAGAAUAAUAAGCUGGUGGAGUUUGCAGAAAAAACUUUUUUUUUCUUUUUUUUAAUGUCUUUUCAAAAUUUGAGUGUAUAGUGAGAAAGAUAGCAUUUUUCAUGAUUUUGGCAUGCAAUUGUUUAAAAAUGAUACAGUAAAGUCAUAUGAAAAUGACCGCAGUGGUACUUGGGGACAUGUAGAACAAGGCUCUGGUGGAGUUUGCAGAAAACAAUUUGAUUUCCCUUUUUAUGAAUUUUUAAAAUGUGUCCUUAUAGCAACAUAAAUAGCAUUGGCCAUGAUUUUGAUAAGCAAUUAUAAAAUAAAUAAAUAAAUAAAUUUAAAAAAUGAUUCAGUAAAGUAAGAUGGCAGUCACCACAGUGGUACCUGGGGAGAUGUAGAAUAAGAAUCUGGUGGAGUUUGCAGAAAACAAUUUGAUUAAAAUUUUUUAUGAAUUUUCAAAAUUCGAGUGUAUAGUGAGAAAGAUAGCAUUUUUCAUGAUUUUGGCAUGCAAUUAUUUAAGAAUGAUACAGUAAAAUGAUAUGAAAAUGACCACAGUGAUACUUGGGGACAUGUAGAACAAGACUCUGGUGGAGUUUGCAGAAAAAAUAUUUGAUUUCGCAUCUCCGAAUCGCAGAUGGCGUGACGGAAGUUGCUUGCGAGGAAAAUUUGCAGGUUAGUAACAGCACCAACUGCUGGUUACAACAACACGAACAACUGCGAGCCGUGUUUCAAGUUUAGUAGCCUUAUUUAUACGUUUUCUUGUGCGCAGCAGAGAGAGUCACACAGACGGCAGAAUCAAAACAAUGAAUGCCAUAAAUGCUGUGCAGUUGUUCAUUAUGGUUUGGACCUUCACCGCUGUCUGUCAAGCUGAUGUUGAUUUCUGCAGUGUAACUUGUCAAAAUGUGACUGGAUCUGUGGGGAAAGAAGCAAAUUUCACCUGCAACAUCUCUAAGCAGUGUGCUAAAUGCUGCGUUGUAAUGUAUAAGUUUCAAUACCCUGAGAGCUAUAAAGACUCAACAAUCCAUAAAGAAGUGUUUCCUGUGAACUCUUGUGAACAGAGAAACAGCUUCACAUGCAGCUACACUCCACCUACAGCAAUGACAGAAAAAUGCAGUUUCUUUGUGCAAACAAAGUGUGGAGUCAAAAGAACAUUAUUCACUGUAGACGUAAAUCUAAAUACUGCGACCAUCAAACCUGAAAUCAUCACUGAAGUCGUCACUCCUGGAAAGACAGAAAAACCUCCCUGGGACGGAUCAGAAACAUCUUUACAGAAGAAAGCAGAAGGUAAUGGAUUUAAGAUCGCCGUCAUCGCUGCUGUUAUAAGUGGUCUCAUCAUCAUCAUAAUGCCAAUCAUUUACAGAAUGACGCAAAAACACCCCAAACAAAAAAGGACAUUUCUGAUUUUCAGACAUGAUGAAGACAACAGCAAUCAUCCAGAAAAUGUUAUAUAACAGAAUUGACUCAGCAGUACCAAACAGUUUUUUUUUGUUUUGUUUUUUUGGAUAAUUUGUAUCAUGCUCAUGAAAGACACAAGCUUUAUUUGAACUCCAAUAAACUACUCUUUCUGUUAGACUUCA